UAGACUUCACCAGAAGCUCAAAACAUUUCACUUAACUAAAACAACCUGAAAAACUGAGCUUUUUAUCUUAUAAGAAUAAUCCAAGAUUAAUUAACUAAAACAACCUAAAAAUGACUAGUAAGAGGGUAUACCGGUUCCGAUCCUAAAUUACAGUCCGGUGAGUAGUGAACAGUUUCUUUCAUGCCAGAAACAAUAUGCACGUCCUAAAAAUCAAAUAAACUAAUUUCACACUAAAACUAAUACAUACAUACUAUAACGAAGCAAAACCUAACAAAUGCUUACAAAGGCCAGAAAACCCAAAACAACAUAUUCCUUUCCGCUCAUUGUUUCAUUUCAAAUAUAUCAGGACACAAUAAGAAGGAAGAAAAUUAUUCUUCCAUUCGGAAUUUCUAAGCUAUUUGUCUAACUGGAUAAGAUUGAAUCGCAUCUUCAUUCAUGACUUCAUCUCUGGAUCUGUCAGCAAGGAAUGAACACAAUUGGAAACAAAUUACAAAACAAUAACAGAAAGAGACGUAUAAUUGAAACCAAAACAUUUACAUCCACUAAUCAACCCAGAAUAUGGUAUGAUAAUUCUUUUUGCUAAUAAUUUAAUAUAAACACAUGAAAGAUUACAAAAAUCUUAUAAUCCUUCAAUUUCGAUAUCAACUUUUUUUAAUUAUAUAUUGUCUGGUACAGCACACAGGUUUACAUUCAAUUCAAGUGAUGAAAUGAACACAUUCCAUCACACACUCCAAGUAUACAUAAAACUUAUGUGCAAAUAUCUUUUAAAUAAUAUAUUGUCUGGUACAGCACACAGGUUUACAUUCAAUUCAAGUGAUGAAAUGCAACACAUUCCAUCACACACUCCAAGUAUACAUAAAACUUAUGUGCAAAUAUCAAGCAUCCGUUGAUACCAAGAAAACGUGAAAAUACAUCAGACAAAUAUUUCAGCUGAUAUUCCAGAAGCUCCAUAACUACCCAUCAUUGCAUAAUAUCUUAGUUUCAUCUUUUCAUCAACCCCCACAAAACUAUAUCUUCAAUAUUUCGGAAAAUCUUUCACAACUCUAUCUUAUCCACUGUAAAAAUAAACGUAAAAUGGUGACCAGACUUCUCCUGUAAACCAAUGCCUCAAGACUUUCAAGUGACUAUAUUAAUAGUGAGGACAAUAAAAGCAUACAAAUAAACCCAUCAUUAUCAAUUCUGACCUCUCAAAAUUCUUACAGAACAGACCCCAACAUAUUAAACAAACAUAAUUUUACUUGAAGAAGUCUGGUCACCAACUGCUAAAUCUGUUUUCAUGCAUAGUAUAGCAUCUCCUGUAAACCAGCACCUAGAAUACAUAAAUAAUGAAGACAAUAAACCAUAUAAUCAUUCUGAACUCGUACAAUCUUGAAGCACUAAAAAACCUGAACCCAACCUCUUUCUUUUCCUUUUUCUCCACUGUACAGACCCCAACAUUCCAAAUUAAACAAACAUAAUUUACUUGAAGCAGUCUGGUCACCAACUGCUAAAUCUAUUUUUUCACCCUAGUCCAAAUCACCUAAAGGCGCUAUCAGGACAGAAGAAAUCCAGAUAAUAGAGAUCAUUAGCCUAUAUUCCAAUACUUUUUCUUUUAAAGAUAUAUAAACAAAUUACAAUGCUAUAUUCCUAUAUAAUAAGACUAUGGAAAGCCUGAAUAUUAACCAUUUUUGGAUGCCAAAAUAAAACUAGAUACAAGCAUUACUAGCCCAAAAAAUUAAUCAUGCCCAAAUGUCCCAUCACAUUCAGAACUUUCCUUGCUCAUUUGCCAGACAAAACAAGCUUUAGUAACAACUUUAUUGCUAAAAGAAGUUAAGCCAUCAUAGGUGCAUCACAACUUUUAAAGUCCCGUCACCUGCAAGAGUGGAAUUCAUAUACGAGAUGCAGGUGGAAUUCUUAUGGGAGGAAGAAGAAAUACUCAGGAAUGAGAUGCUUAUGAAGUUAAAUACAUAUAGCAUAGACAUAGUAAGCCACAUAAAUUAACUUGAAUAUUUUCGAGGAUCGGUAUUUAAAGUCGAAGUCUAAUCCAACAUCAUGCUAGCGCUUAGUCAAUUAUACAUGAACAUUCAAGAGUAAUUUUAGAAUGCAGAACGUUCCACUAAAAGCCUAAAAUACUUUUAGACAGCUCAAGUUCUAAAUAUGAGGAAGCUAUAUAUAAAAGCUACUACAUCAAUAGAACUAUAGAAGAUAUAAUCAAUUUCUUAGGACACGAAAAAAGAUAUAAUCCACUUAUUUUUUAUAUUUCCUUUAGACAGG
rnacentral:lncRNA from 1 species